rnacentral:lncRNA from 1 species
GAUGGAUCAUCUUGACAGGGAGGAGAAGCAAGGCAGAAUGCAGUUCUGAAUCAGCUGGCAGGUCUGUGAAUGCAAAAAGGGUGGAAUAUUGUGAGUCAUCAUCAAAUCUAUUUCCCAGCUCUUCUGUAAUCAAUCUUUUUGUCUCUUGCAGGCUCGAAAAUGACUCAUUCUUUGACAUGCCUUUAUAGAGCUGCUAAGUCCACAGUUUGCCAGCCUCCCUGGUGCUGCUCAGUCUAUCUGCUGCACAGUGCCAGCAGAGGUUGAAAAAUGCAACACCUGAUUGCUUCAAGAUCACUUCAAGAAACAGAGCAAAUUGCUCCUGUGAUGAUGUAGGAUCCAAAAUGCUGCAUUUUUUCAGAAUUCACCCAUGGUAUUCAACUAUUGAAUGCUUUUUCUUGAGUAGACUGCUUUCCACUUCGAUUUAAGAGGGGAAAUAGGCCCUCAGCCAAAAGUUAGAUCUAAAUUCAGAUCUACAGAAUGG